GACGUAGGGGGCCAGCGUUGCUCGGAAUUACUGGGCGUAAAGGGUUCGUAGGCGGUGCGGUAAGUCGGAAGUGAAAUCUCUGGGCUUAACUCAGAGGCUGCUUUCGAAACUGCCGUGCUAGAGUGCGGGAGAGGCGAGUGGAAUUGCAGGUGUAGCGGUGAAAUGCGUAGAUAUCGGAAGGAACACCUGUGGCGAAAGCGGCGCACUGGACCAAAACUGACGCUGAGGCGCGAAAGCUAGGGGAGCAAACAGG
rnacentral:rRNA from 1 species